rnacentral:rRNA from 1 species
GACGAACGCUGGCGGCGUGCUUAACACAUGCAAGUCGAACGGAAAGGCCCCUUUGGGGGUACUCGAGUGGCGAACGGGUGAGUAACACGUGAGUAACCUGCCCUUGACUUCGGGAUAACUUCAGGAAACUGGGGCUAAUACCGGAUAGGAAUCCUUGCUGCAUGGUGGGGGUUGGAAAGCUUCGGCGGUUUUGGAUGGACUCGCGGCUUAUCAGCUUGUUGGUGGGGUAGUGGCUUACCAAGGCUUUGACGGGUAGCCGGCCUGAGAGGGCGACCGGCCACAUUGGGACUGAGAUACGGCCCAGACUCCUACGGGGGGCAGCGGUGGGGAAUAUUGCACAAUGGGCGGAAGCCUGAUGCAGCAACGCCGCGUGCGGGAUGACGGCCUUCGGGUUGUAAACCGCUUUCAGCAGGGGCGAAGCUUGUGGUGACGGUACCUGCAGAAGAAGCACCGGCUAACUACGUG